UGGCGGACGGGUGAGUAAUGUCUGGGAAACUGCCUGAUGGAGGGGGAGUAACUACUGGAAACGGUAGCUAAUACCGCAUAACGUCGCAAGACCAAAGAGGGGGACCUUCGGGCCUCUCGCCAUCGGAUGUGCCCAGAUGGGAUUAGCUAGUAGGUGGGGUAACGGCUCACCUAGGCGACGAUCCCUAGCUGGUCUGAGAGGAUGACCAGCCACACUGGAACUGAGACACGGUCCAGACUCCUACGGGAGGCAGCAUG
rnacentral:rRNA from 1 species